UCUGUCGUCCUGAGCACAUCUGUCAUAGGCACUGAUCGUCAUUGCUUUGACACUGUUGUCAUCUUCUGUCUGGAGCAGAAGCUCCUAAAGGACAGGGCUCAGUGUCUUUGACUUUGAGCAUGCUAAGGCUCAGAAGAAGGUACACUGUAAAUACUCAAUUUACAUGGACCCACUAUUUCGAUAACAUCUUUUUUUGCAAGAAAUAUUUUAAGUCCCCAGUUGUGCAUGCUGGCACGCAUAUGGAGUCUGUCAGAUGUAGUAUUAUCCAAACCCAGGAGUUCAAGACCAACUUGGGUUCUAUACUGAGAUCCUGAUAACACACACACACAGACACAAAACCCUCUACUCUGCAUUUGUACUGAUUUUGUCUUGUAUUUGGAUUAAGAAAAUAAAAAUGAUCAUUUAAAA
rnacentral:lncRNA from 1 species